rnacentral:rRNA from 1 species
UAAACCGGAGGAAGUGGGGAUGACGUCAAGUCAGCAUGGCCUUUAUAUCCUGGGCUACACACACGCUACAAUGGGAAGGGACAAUAGGUUGCGAAGCCGCGAGGCGGAGCCAAUCCAGCAAAACUUCCCUCAGUUCAGAUUGCAGGCUGCAACCCGCCUGCAUGAAGUUGGAGUUGCUAGUAAACGCAGGUCAGCCAUACUGCGUUGAAUACGUUCCCGGGGGCCUU